AAUAACAAUGCGAAUAUGAAAAAUAAAACGGACGUCGGCCAACGGUCGCCGAACGAUAACACCGAUCGAACUCGUUAAAUGUUCAAUAAUAUUAAACGUUUGUUCGUAACGCGAGUAAUGCGAUUCGUGUUAUAUAAACGCCAGUUAUCGGCCAAAGGUUCGGGGAUUAUCGUAUACUUUCGGUCGGCGAGUUAGGAUUCGUUAACGAGCAAUUAAUUAAUAUCGGUGGUCUCGAUUGAAAACGUGAAUUAAACAAUUGGCGGCUACGUGAACACAGAGUCCGCGUGAAUGAAAAAUGCGCACUCGUCGGUGGCGUAACUAAAACUGCUAAUAUGCUCAUGGCAAAAUAUGUCGCUGCAUAGAGAUCGCUACGGCAAAGCCCAAAACCAAAACCGCCACUAAAAAAAAAAAAAAAAAAUAAUUAAAAAAAAUGCUACACUGAAUUUUCGUCUAAAACACCUUGACAAUUUAACAUAUUCACCAAAGCAAAAUAGCUAAUUAUCAAAAAAAAAAAAAAGUAAUACGAUUUUAUGUGUACAGUACAUCCCUAACCAUCAAUAAUUGUUAGCACCGGCCCUGACCAAGUGCACAAUCCAAGUCGGGGCCCAAUUUACGCAGUUUAAAGUAAAGAAAAAAAAAGAAAAGAAUAAGGACACUGUGGUCUGUUUUCAUACAUCCG